UAAGACGUAGGAGGCGAGCGUUAUCCAGAAUUAUUGGGCGUAAAGAGCGUGUAGGCGGCUCUUCAAGUCUGUGGUGAAAUCUCCCGGCUCAACCGGGAGGGGUCCAGAGAAACUGGAGGGCUUGAGGGCAGCAGAGGGGGGUGGAAUUCCCGGUGUAGUGGUGAAAUGCGUAGAUAUCGGGAGGAACACCAGUGGCGAAGGCGGCCCCCUGGGCUGUUCCUGACGCUGAGGCGCGAAAGCGUGGGGAGCGAACAGGAUUAGAUACCCUGGUAGUCCACGCCGCAAACGAUGGACACUAGGUAUGGGGGGUAUCGACCCCCUCCGUGCCGAAGCUAACGCUUUAAGUGUCCCGCCUGGGGAUUACGGCCGCAAGGCUA
rnacentral:rRNA from 1 species